rnacentral:miRNA from 1 species
UGGGGGUGUGGGGAGAGAGAG